rnacentral:tRNA from 1 species
GGGCCCGUAGCUCAGCUGGUUAGAGCACCUGACUCUUAAUCAGGGUGUCGGGGGUUCGAAUCCCCUCGGGCUCA